GAGUUUGAUCCUGGCUCAGAGUGAACGCUGGCGGCGUGCUUAACACAUGCAAGUCGCACGAGAACGCUUCAGCUUGCUGAGGCUAGUAAAGUGGCGCACGGGUGAGUAACGCGUGGGUAACCCACCUCCGAAUUGGGGAUAACAUUGCGAAAGCGAUGCUAAUACCGAAUAAUAUCCUGGCAGCUUCGGUUGCCUGGAUCAAAGGUGGCCUCUACAUGUAAGCUACUGUUUGGAGACGGGCCCGCGUCCCAUUAGCUUGUUGGUGAGGUAAUGGCUUACCAAGGCGACGAUGGGUAGCUGGUCUGAGAGGAUGAUCAGCCACACUGAAACUGACACACGGUCCAGACUCCUACGGGAGGCAGCAGUGAGGAAUCUUGCGCAAUGGGGGAAACCCUGACGCAGCAACGCCGCGUGAGUGAUGAAGGCUUUCGGGUCGUAAAGCUCUGUCAAGUGGGAAGAACCCACGUGAUGCUAAUAUCAUCACGUGCUGACGGUACCAC
rnacentral:rRNA from 1 species